ACAACAGUGGCUGAAGUCAAAGAAGGGAGAACAUACCACAGUUCAAUCGGGUUAGAAGAUUUUGCAACAAUAGACAUAGAAGAAAUACCUGCAAUUCCUGAAGCUGAAACCUUUACAAACAUAGAUGAUGCACCAAUAGUUUGUUUUGAUUUAGAGACAACUGGUUUAAGUAGAUAUUCUGAUAUAACCCAGAUAGCUGCAUGCACCAAAGACAGUUCCUUCAGUCGAUAUAUAUUUCCAGACCAACAAAUUUCAAGAGAAGCAUCAGAAAUAACAAAAAUCACUAUUGUAGGAC